UACAGAGACUGCCAGCGUUAUUCGGAUUCACUGGGCGUAAAGGGUGCGCAGGCGGCCGUGUGUGUCAGGUGUGAAAGCCCGGAGCUUAACUCCGGAAUUGCGCCUGAAACUACAUGGCUAGAGCAUUGGAGAGGGUAGCGGAAUUCACGGUGUAGCAGUGAAAUGCGUAGAUAUCGUGAGGAACACCAGAGGCGAAGGCGGCUACCUGGACAAUUGCUGACGCUCAGGCACGAAAGCGUGGGGAGCAAAAGGG
rnacentral:rRNA from 1 species